rnacentral:rRNA from 1 species
GAUGAACGCUGGCGGAGUGCCUUAAGCAUGCAAGUCGAGCGCCCCGCAAGGGGAGCGGCAAACGGGUGAGGAAUACAUGGGAAUGUACCUUUUGGUUCGGAAUAGCCUCGGGAAACUAGGAUUAAUACCGGAUGUGGUCUACGGACUAAAGAUUUAUCGCCAAAAGAUCAGCCCAUGCCUGAUUAGUUAGUUGGUAGGGUAAUUGCCUAGCAAGACAAUGAUCAGUAGCUGGUUUGAGAGGAUGAUCAGCCACACUGGGACUGAGACACGGCCCAGACUCCUACGGGAGGCAGCAGUGGGGAAUUUUGGACAAUGGGCGCAAGCCUGAUCCAGCAAUGCCGCGUGCAGGAAGAAGGCCUUCGGGUUGUAAACUGCUUUUGUACGGAACGAAACGGUUCUCUCUAAUACAGGGGGCUAAUGACGGUACCGUAAGAAUAAGCACCGGCUAACUACGUGCCAGCCGCCGCGGUAA